ACCUAAGUGGUGGACAACAAAUCCCAUUAUGCUAACAUCCAUUAUGGACACUAAACAGUUUGAUCAUUUAUUUUUUUUAAUCAGCACAUAUUAAUUACUAUUUUUAUGGCUAAUCAGACAGAUGAAAUAAAACAUCUGUCUUGACCUAAAUUCUUCCUUGUAAGAAGGGCUGCUUGGUGAAUUUGAAUUAUCUAUUUCAUGAAGAAAUGUAUCAAGUUACGUAUCGGGGUGAUUCUUAGAUACUAAUAGUAUUAUCACUGAAAUAUAUUUUAACUCUAUAUCACAUCACAAUGAAUAACAUGCUAUUUGAAGAGUUACCAUUUCCAAACAAUAUUGAAAUUAAAUGCUCAGGCUUUUAGUCCACUUAGCUGGCUUGCAGACAGCUGUUUUAUCCCUGUGUCUGUCCUCUCAUGGCUUCUUCUCUGUGUAUGUGCAGAGAGGGAACAACAGAAACAGAGACAGAGUGCUCUGGUGUCUCCCCUUCUGCUAAGGACACCAGUCCUGUUGGAAUAGGGCACCACCCCUGUGACUGCAUUUAAACUUUAUUACAGCAUCUCCCUAAAGAUCCUGUCAUCAAAUAGGUGGCUAGGCUUCAACUUAUGAAUUUUGGGAGGCCACGAUUCAGCACAUAAUAAAAGUCAUCUGGAAAGAGGUCAGACGUUUCUAAUUUUUUAGUCAUUGACAAGGGGAGAUAUGAUCCUAAGAGAAAAAAUACAAAUUUGAAAAACAAAUACUUUAUGUGGCCAAUGAGAGAUGUGCUUUGUCAGAAAUACUCCUUAAUCUCUAUAACACAGACAUUCAAGAAAUGGGAAUUCCAAAAACUAUGACCUAUCCUAAGCAGAACAUAUAUGAAGAAAUGCAGCCACAUUAUUAAGGGCCUAAAUUUGUCAUGAGAUAAUUUACAUUUCCCAGGAUUCCUGAAUAGAUACACUCAGAAGUUUGAAGUCUCACUCUGACGGAAUAUGAUGUUUCUCUUAUGCUGCUUGAAAACUCAAUUACUUAUGUCUGAGAAGACAGAAAACCGAUACCAGAGACAUAUUGCAACUAAGGGAAGAUAAUAAAGAAAACAGACAUAGCCUUUGUGAAGAGACAUUUGAUAUUUAG
rnacentral:lncRNA from 1 species